UACGAAGGGAGCUAGCGUUGUUCGGAAUCACUGGGCGUAAAGCGCACGUAGGCGGAUUUGUAAGUCAGGGGUGAAAUCCUGGAGCUCAACUCCAGAACUGCCUUUGAUACUGGGGAUCUCGAGUCCGGAAGAGGUGAGUGGAACUCCGAGUGUAGAGGUGAAAUUCGUAGAUAUUCGGAAGAGCACCAGUGGCGAAGGCGGCUCACUGGUCCGGUACUGACGCUGAGGUGCGAAGGCGUGGGGAGCAAACAGG
rnacentral:rRNA from 1 species